AUCGCUUCUUGGCCUUUUGGCUAAGAUCAAGUGUACCAUAUACAUGGGCAACUGCUUCUGAAUAUUGAGGAACACCUCACCAUUGGUGAAACCCACAGGGGAAUCACAUGACUGAAUGCUUUCUCAUGUCAGAAAUUCCCUCCCAGU